AGGGACCAGACCACACCGGGAGGGAGAGAGUUCGGGACCGGAGCAUCAGUAGCACUUUCAAGGAAUACGUUAAAAAAAAACUUACCUGUGGGGGAGACCGAGGAGUGUGCAACACGGGGCCAGUGUUGGCACCGACUUGUGAACCAGCUGAUUAUGGCAACAUACAAGGUGCAUUUGCGAACUGACUGUACAGAGAAAAACCUCACAGAAAGAAUCAGUGAAAAGAAAACCCAUACAAGCACGAUGCAAACAGUGAAAAGUGCCGUCCUGUCUUGUCACUCGUCAUUCUGAAAUUUCACUCAGCCAAUCGGAGGAUCUGAACUAGCUGUAAGGAUUUUGAGUAGCAAGAGGGUGAGUAACUGUGAUGACGAGUGCUUAUCUGGAACUACAUGCUGGAUUUUCAAAAUCGAGAAGCCCAGGUCUGUUGAUGAGCAUAUGUGAUUACAUGAGGCUGGAGAUGGAAGAUGAAGUGUGAAAAUGGAGCGACCUGUGGGAGUCUCACAGCCUGCAAAAAAAUCAAUAUUACUCUCCUUGAGAUCCUCUUUCUCUCAGCAUCUGUGAAGUAUAGAUUCCCAUCUCCGCCAUAUGUGGACUCUAGCGCUGAUGAAAUAUCUUUGAUAUUUACCACUGUUUAAUCAUAUACCGUAUGUGAGGAGGACUGAACUACAGAGCUAAACAAACAAUUCAAAGCAGCUUCAGCAUAUAGCUGAGCCUAAUGGAGUCAGUAAUGAUCAGUUUCGUUGUGUUCAAUCUGGAAUUGGCUUCACGAUCCCCAGUCGGAUGUCUUUUAAACCAAACAGGAGCAAAUCUGUGAACCUACAUACAAUCUCACAACAUCUUCUCCCAUCAGUCCCUCAGUCUAUGCACCGGUAGGUAUAAGUCCUAGCAUAUUAGUCCAGUCAGGUGGAACAAAAAUGACACAGUGAGCAUCGCUAAGUCAUGAGGUGUUGAGUGUGACUCAUUACGCCACUGCUCGGUGCCUCCACAGCCGAUAAGGACCGUCCCCGCUGUAUGUCCAUGCCUAGAUGGAGUAAUUGGACCGGUAAGGUAAAAUGGCCACACAGACUCCAGGAACAGAGAAUUAACUGCAUAUUGACAGCGUUAAACUUGGCAGCCUCCCAGGGCUGAAAUGUUGAUUUUUGAACUGCUGUUUUGCCAGAGCGAGAAACUAACAGAAAGACAAACCUUUAUAAAUUACAGAGCAGUAAACCCCGACAAUAAAGAGUGCAGUAUUUUUGUCAUCUGACAAGGUUAGAGAGUUCUUUCAUCGCAAAAUCCAUCAGUUCCAUUAUUUUCUUGGAGUUUGUAUAAAGAUGCUGGCCAGUGAGAGACGGAGCUCUGUAAAAGGCUGAUACGACUUAAAAUAAAACAAGACCUUAAAUAUAAAGAAUGCUUUUAUGCAUUUCUUUUAAACUGCUGCCAGCAAAGCAAGAAUGAAAGGAACGCAGAAGACUGCCAGCAUUAUCCUUGUUAGUGUCUGCAGAUAGAAUGUUUUACGAGACAAAGGAUCCAUACUCUGCUGGAGAAAUUAAUGACUUUCUUUGAAAAGAGGGUCUCGGUGUUGUUAUGGAAACCUCCUCUCAAGAGAUGCUAAUAAGCUCAAGCCAAAGCAAAAGAAGCAGUUUUGAAUGUGGAAAUAAAACUUGAGCCUGUCUCUAAUGCACUGCAUUUGUUACAGGGUGUUGCAGGACUUGAUUACUGCUGCUUGCUAAGGCAACAAUCAAAAGUGCUGUUAGUUUGCAUUUCGGCUCACAUCUCGUCCUGAACAUGAAUUAUACCAUGAAUCUUGGGGCCUGUUGAUAAGAGAUGCUAUGUUACUCUUCUAAUUGAUCGGACAUGCUGGGCAAUAGUCUCAUAAAACUGUUUGCUUAUCAGAAUAUCACAGACGCUUUUUUUCUGUGGUAACCAGAUAAAAACCACCAGAACACUCAAGCAACAAAACAGCAACACUAAAAACUACUCAGCACAGCUUAGCAACUGCAUAGCAAUGCCUUGGCAAACACCCCAAACAGCAACCAGCGAUGCAUAGGGUCUGUGAAAAUUCAUUUGCAGUGAUAAAACGUAUCUGUGAUCCUACAAACUAGGAAAUGCGUCUCUCACGUGGUCAGCCAUGUUAAAAAUUAAUAUUUAAGUCAGUAAUAGGAAAUUAACAUUAUUCGUUAUUCCUAUGCUAAUAGGGAGAAACACAAAUUUCAAUACUGAAAUAUGGUUGUCAAAUGGCAAAGCUUUUUAAAUAUUUGAAAGUACGCUAUCAAUACCAGUCAAUAUCAAUAUCAACAUUAUAUGACGUUAUGAUAAAGAAUUAUGUCAUGAUGUAUCUUUAGUAAUUAUAACUUGGUAACAAUGUAUGAACAAUGUUUUGUCAUUUAGACAUAUUCAUACUGAUACCAUGAUAAUAAUAUGAAUUAUACUACUAGUAACAAUAUAAAAUGGAUUAUUGAGUUGCUGGGAUCAUUAAUCAUUAAUAUUAAUUACAUUUUCUCUUUCUGUUCAAAUUGAUUCGCUGAGAUCAAAACAGCCGGCCAAUGAGAUUGCCAUAUAUGCAUUAUUAUUUAUUUAUCCAUAAGAUACUAAAGUCAAAUCUAAGAAUGUACUAGCCAUUGGCUAUAGAUUUAGUCACAUAUGUUAGCGAUUUGCUUGCAUUGUAGACAGUUGCAUUCAGUAAUAAAUGUAAUAACAUGAAGUAAACGAUAACAGCAGAGAGUGCUAUUGCUUAAAUGGUUUAAAUGAUUUUAUCUCUAAAAAUGAUGCCCAUCAUUUAAAAAAAUGGAAAUAACUGGGAGAAGUUAAAACAGUUUCCUAUUUGCACACAGUAAUCAUUUAAUGGGAUCUUACGGGGUUAUCCCCAUAACAAUCACUGUUCAAACAAGCCUUUGGAUAUUAUUUUGAAGUCAAAAAAGUGUUAGAUACAAUGUUACAGAACUGGAAUCUGUUGACCCCCAAAGAUGGUGAAUAGUGGAGCAGUAAACGCUAGUGAUAAUGGCAGAGCCCCAGCCCGGUCUUGACUAUGGGAAAAUGGGUCUCGUGCAUAUGCAUGAGAUUGGACCUCAGGUGAGGAGAGCUGUGACCCAAUUGCAGACAUCAUCACUAAAGAUGAAGUUCACAUAUUCAGAACUCACCUGAGAACAAAGUAUGCCUCUGCCCUCAGAAUGUGCAUUUGUAGUUUUUUUUUUAUUGCAGUUAUUGUGAAAAGAUGUCUAUUUGACCGGUCCGGAGUGUUGUAUAAUAGGUUACCCCUAUUAUUUAUGUACUUGAACUUUUGCAUACGGACAUAUUGUUAAGAGAAUCAUUUCCUGUAAUCAGUGAGGGAAAUGACAUUCUAGCCAAAGGCUGUAUGUGUUUGCUGGUUAUGGCUGCUGCUUAUAUUUUGGUUUGAAAUUGACACUAUUUUUCUCAUAACGUUGAAGCACAUCACCUGUGGGUCUGCUGGCCCUGGGCUCUCAGGUAUUAGAGGACAAAUAUCCAACACGCUGGUUUAGAGCAGAAUUUCAUGUCUCUUCUGUUUUCCUAGUAUUGCAGAAUACCUGUAACCUUUAACAGCUCCUGAGACUUAAUGUCAACUCUAUAUAACCCAGAUUCCACUUCUGAUAACAGCACGGACAAAGGAAGAAAAGGAAAAUAUACUAGUGAUGUCUAACGAAUCUUACAAGCCUUAUAGAUUGCAUCUUCAGCAAAAAAAAACAUACAUGGCUUAGCGAUGCAAAUUAGUUCAAUUGCACCUCCUAAAAUGGUGCUUUUCUGAAGAUUAUGCUGAAAAACCCUGUUACCAUGAGACCUAUGGUUAUUCAUGCGGUCUACGGAUUCAAGUUAAUUACACACUAAUCGGAUGAAAUUAAUUGCACUUACUAUGCAAUCUGAGCAAAUGGAUUGUAAGUCUUUUCCUCUUUUGUUUGGCCAGAAUAACAUGGGCGGGUACAUUUAGACUUCUCAGCAUUUUUCAAGUAAAAACACCUUACAGGGACAUUGAGGAUCGGCAUAAAAUUAAUUAUCCAAAUCAUGGACCAUACGUUCAUUAAACCGUGUUGAUUUAAAGAGCGUGCAUACUGCAUUUGUCUUUGUUUAAUUGUGUGAGUAAAAAAAAACAUUCAAUCUUAU